CAUUCUAGAAAUUCGAUGGAGAAGAAUAGUCCCAUGUAUACAUUCUUUCAAUUGUAACCCCCGUUAUAAAAUUUGAGAAUUGAAUGUAGACAAAUAUUCUCAUAUACAUAUGGUGAGGAAAACUUCAGUUAUGUAAUGAUAAGAAUGUAUAAAAUGUAGCAGAUACAUAGAGUAAGCCAAAAUAUUCAUGAUGAAAAUUUUAAUAUUCCAAAAUUAUUUGAUAAAUAUUUAAUUUUAUGUUGCUAUGUAUCAUAUGUAUUUUUUGCCUACUCUGCAAAAAUAUACUCGGGCAUUUGCUAAAUAAAAUGUAUAAACAAACACAAACACACACACUCUGUGUGUGUAUAUAUAGAGAGAGACACACACACACCACACAAACAAUUAUUGUACUAUUAAACAAAGUAUAUUUAUUAUGUAUAAAAAAAGGGUGAGCUAACUUACGCCUUCGUCGGAGAUGGGGGUAGGAAGACCAUGAAAGGAAGUGAUUCAACCAAUCGGACUGACAAGUGGUGGUCCUAUGAUAACAAGAGGUAAGGGAGUUGGAGUUUUGCAUAAAAACACACUGACGACGAGCCCUAGUCUGCUAAAUUUAUACAGUGGAGGAAACGCAAAUCCAAAGGGGGUCGAGGCAAACCCAACCAAAAAUAGCCCAAAGGUGAGAAAAGGUGCACAAUCAGAUGUGCAGGGAACUGAUGAUAGCAACAAAGCACCAGCAACACCGAGCACGAUUCCACCACCACAACCUUCAUCUGUUACCGGAGGGGCAGAAUUAUGUCUGCGCAACCAGAUCUAAAUCCAAGUCCUGGUAAAGGAGGCGGAAAUGGAACUAGGUCACAACAACUGAUGCCCGAGAAGGGUAAAUCAUGGGCUGGGCUAUUUGGUGGGAACAAGAUGAAUGCACGUGGAAUGAGCCUGGAGUUUAUCAAGCCAAUUAUCAUUGAUGGAGAGAAGAUUCUCAAUUGCAGACGGAGGAGAUUGCUGAAGAUACUCUCAAAUGGCAACAAGCUCUCAUACUGAACGUGAUUGAAGCUCACCUUUUAUCAGGGCUAUUACCAGGUUCAUUGCUACGAACUGGAACUUUGCAACUCAGCCUAAAAUCUACUAUCAUAAUGAUGGAUAUUUCAUUGUCCUUCUUGCUAAUUGUGAAGAUAGAGAUGCUAUUAGGUGUGCUGGUCCGUAUACGAUAAAUAGUAAACCAGUGAUCCUUCGUAAUUGGAACCCUAAUUUUGACUUUGAAGAAAGGUGUUAAGAACCAUCCCUUUAUGGAUCCAACUGCCUAAUCUUCCUAUGAAUCGUUAGGGGAAACAAAUAUUGAGUCGCAUUGGUAGUGUUCUAGGGCGACCAAUUUAUGCUGAUGAAUGUACCACUAGUAGAGAAAGAGUUUCAUUUGCUAGGAUUCUCAUAGACAUGGAUGUCACUAGGAAAUUGUCGGAUACAAUAAAAGUGCAGGAUCCUGAGGGGAUAGUGUUUGCAUAACAUGUCGAAUCCGAUUGGAAACCAAGCUACUGCCCCAAGUGUUUGAGAAUUGGGCAUGUGUGUAAAGAACCAGAAGAAUCUAAGCCAGAUGUGCCUGUUGCUAAAGGGAAAUCACCCAGGGACAAAAUGAAGCAAACCUGGAAAAAGCAUGGGGGACAACAAGACCAAAUAAAAAAAAGGUGAAUCCUAGGGGUGCUAGCACAAGCGGUGCUAGGGUGAAUGAAAUAUAUGUACAGGAAUCUGGCCAUGGUGUACAGACUAGGGGUACAGGGAAAGACAAAGUAACUAAUGUUGCCAAUUUGACUGGGCAAACUGGUGUUAUCAGUAAGGUUAAUGCUCAACAUGAACAGGGGAUGCCAAGUUGACUGGGCAAACUGGUGUUGUCAGUAAGGUUAAUGCUCAACAUGAGCAGGGGAAUACUAACAAAACUGUUGAUACAAGCUCAACAGCUCAAACUGCAGAGGUGCCAGCAAAGGUGAAUACAACCAGAGAGGCUACAAAGGUUGUUACUGCUGCACCAGUCAAUGCACAAGGGGUUGGAUAACAGCUAAAAACAUAUUUGCCAUGAAGCAACUCAUAAACAAGAGGGUUGAUUAGAUUAGCAUGGCUAAUGUAUUUAGCUCUUUAGUAGCUAUGGUUAGUAAGGAAUUGCUGACUUGUGGCCCAAAAGAUGUAGCGGAACAAGGUGAUAUUAGAGGAAAAGUUCUAGCCCAAAUUACUAUUUUAACUAGAAGAAAGUAGUAACAUAAAAUGUUAGAGGGUUUAAUAAAGUUUACAAGCAGAAAGAACUUUACAAGCAGAAAGAACUAAAAAUGUUUCUUAUUGAGAAUAUAUUAAAAUGGAUAUGAUAACCAUUUUUGAACACAAAGUCAAGAGGAAAGCUGCACAAAAAAUAGUCCAGAAGGUAGUUCCUGGUUGGCAAGCUGUAUUUAACUACCAACAGAAUGACAGACGUACAGUGUGGCUGAUGUGGAACCCCAAUUAUUGUGACUUUUCAAUGGUACUAAUGCUUCAUCCACGGUAUGGUCAGAGUAUAUGGGUUUAAUAAGUGCUUUUAUUUAACCGUUGUCUAUGGAUUGCAUACAAUUCAUGACAAAAAGUCUCUAUGGCAGAUUUACUAAACAUAGCUCAAACCAUGGCAAGUCCAUAGUUGGUUAUGGGGGAUUUCAAUGCCAUCAUGCAUAUUGGAGACAGAGUGGUGGGUUCCCCAAUACAAGCAAAUGAGAUCCGUGACUUUAAUGAUUCUAUGCAAGGUGCUCAUAGGCUAGAACUUAAGGCAGUGGGGAGAGCUUUCACUUGGACAAACAAUCAUGUCUUUAGGAGAAUCGACAGAGACAUUGUGAAUAUAAUUUGGGCUUAAAUGUGGAGCAAUCUUGAAGUGGUGGUGAUGGAGCUUGAGUUUUCUGAUCACUCACCUUUGUGCUUAACUUUAUGUGACAGACAAAACACAGGUCCUAAACCAUUUAAGUUCUUCAAUUGCAUAGCUGAUCAUCUAUCAUUCCAGACCAUUGUGUAGCAGGAAUGGGCUAAGGAAGGACCUGCUAAUAACUUAAUGAAACUAUGGAAGAAACUUGGUAACCUAAAGAUCCAUUUGAAAUAGCUGAACUCCUCUGAGUUUCAGAACAUAGCUCAUAGAAUUGCUGAUUUGAGACGUAGACUGAAUUAAUUCAGUUUCAGAUAGGCUUGUUCCUAACCACCAAAUACUACAAACUGAGGAGAAAAUUGUCAAAGCUGAGCUGGAAAAAUGGCAUGGUAUUGAGGAAAGUGCUAUGAAGCAAAAGGUAAGUGUUAACUGGCUUAAGCUUGGAGAUUCCAACACAUCAUACUUUCAUGCUUGCUUAAGGAAUAGAGUGGCACAAAACCAUAUAAGAACCUUAACUAAUCUGGAUGGGAAACUGAUCCAAAAAGAUGAAGAUAUUCAGAAUGAGAUUAUAGGGUUCUACAAAUCAUUGUUGGAACUACAGCUCACCAGCAUUAAGCAGGAUGUAAUGUAGCAAAGGAAAGUCUUAACAAGGAACCAACAACUAGGUUUGAUUGCAAGUGUCAGUAAAGAAGUAGUGAAUGCAGUUGUUAAAGAUAUUGAUGACAAUAAAGCCCCAGGAAGUGAUGGGUACACUGCUUUCUUUUAUAUGAGGGCUUGGGGUACAAUUGGGGAGGAAGUAAUUAUGGCAGUUCUGGAUUUCUUUAUGGAACUAGCAUAUAUAAGCCUGUUAACUGUACUGCUGUCACCUUGAUUCCCAAGGUUAAGCACCCAGCAUCCAUUAGAUAAUACAGACUAAUAUCCAGCUGUAAUUUGAUAUACAAGAUUAUUUCCAAGGUCAUUACAAGAAGAUUGAGUGGAGUUAUGGAUGGGAUCAUAAAUAGUAGCCAAUUUGCUUUCAUCCCUGGUAGAAUGAUAUCAGAUAACAUCAUCCUGAGCCUUGAGUUAGUCAAAGGGUAUGCUAGGAAAAGCACAUCACUAAAGUGCAUGUUGAAAGUUGAUCUACAGAAGGCCUAUGACUCACUUGAAUGGGUGGUUCUUAAGCAAGUACUGGCCAGUUUACAGUUUCUUGAGAUAUUUAUUCAAUGGAUUAUGAGAUGUAUUACAACUGUGACCUAUUUUAUCAUCAUUAAUGGAACACCAGCCCCUCCAUUUGAUGCUAGAAAAGGACUCAGAUAGGGUGACCUGUUUGUGAUAAUAAUGGAAUACCUCACCAGAUUGCUCAAACCAUUGCACCAAGAUAGAAGGUUUUAGUUUCAUCCUAAAUGUGCUAAGUUGAAGAUCAUCAAGUUAAGUUUUCCAGAUGACUUACUAUUAUUCAACAAAGGGGACAUUACAUCUGUUCAGCUCUUAGUGUAGAGGUUCAGCCAUUUCUCCCAAGCUUCAGGACUCCAGGCUAAUCUUGACAAGUGCUCCAUUUAUUUUGGAGGGGUGAAGCAAGUGGUGCAAGACCAAAUCUUAGAAAUCACUGGCAUUCCUAGAGGAGAACUGUCAAUUAAAUAUCUAGGGGUGCCCUUCAGCAUAAAGAGACUCUCUAUUGUGCAAUGCCAACCUUUGCUUGACAAGAUGUUGGGCAGAUUGACAACCUGGACAAAUAAAUUCUUAUCAUAUGCAGGGAGGUCACAACUAUUAAAAGUUUUGUUGUUCUCCAUUCAAAUCUACUGGUCACAGCUAUUUUUAUUGCCCAAGAAGAUGAUGGAAAGCAUAAAGAAAAUCUGUAGAACAUUUCUGUGGACUUGUGGAAUUGAGCAUUCAAACAAGGCUCUUAUUGCAUGGGAAAAACUAUGUUUACCAUACACUCAGGUGGAUUAAACUUGACUAACAUGUGUAUUUGGAACAAAGCAGCUUUGUGUAAGCUUCUGUGGAAUUUGAGCAGGAAAAAAGAUGUCUUAUGGAUACAGUGGGUACAUAUCUUUUAUGGAAAAGGGGAAUCACUCUGGGGCAAACAUCCUAAGCAGGCAAGCCGGAUUGUUCAGAAGGUGUUGAGGCUUAGCAGUAUAUUAAGGAAGCAGGACUAGAUGAGACAGUACUUACAACUAUGCAAACUUUCUCAAGAAAGAAGAUAUACUCAAGAUUGUUAGGUGACUACCCAAAGGUAUCCUGGAGAAGAAUAACUUGCAACAAUCCAGCACUCUCUGGUUCUGAUCCACGAAGACCUUUACUGGCAGAAGGUUUACACUUUGAAGUUGUAGUUCUGUUUACUCAGCUUAAAGGUACGUACGUGUUUUCUAUCGCCUAAAUUAUUGCUAUAUACCUCAAAUCAAAGUCUAGUAGACACUAUUACUUGUGCCAAUACUUUUCAUUAAAAUAAAUUACAUAAAGGCUCUUUGGAUACUGCUGCUAUUUGUCUCCAUCCUUGUUAAUCACGGAAGGAUAGUACGCAAGGACUCAAAUAUGCGAUACAUAAAUUUUCUUAAUUAUGCUUUUAAAUGAAAAUUUUCAAUUAUGCCUAUAACCACUAGAAUAUAAUAUUUCAUAGACUCAUUGUGAUUAUAAUUGAGGAUAUGUUAGAAAGAUAUUCUUAACAUUAUAUACAUGCUCGAUUUACUCCUGAAGUAGCAACAUCUUAAAAGAGGUUAUAAGCUAUUAAAUUUUGAUGUGGUUAAACACGUUCAAAUAAUUAUGUUCUAUUUCUAAAGAAUGAGAAUUUUUUUUUUUGAUAAAGUAAGUAAUUUCAUUGCUGGCAUCAAGUAGAUGCAUAGUAGUUACAGAAGUAGAGUAGCAAAAAGAAUGAGAAAUUUUAAUAGAUGUUACAAAUACAGAUCCAUUUCCUGCAGUGAAUGUGAUGAUAUUUAGUAAAGAUUAUAAAUACAGAUGUGUUUUUGAUUAUGAAGUUAUCACGACUCAUCUCCAGAAGAGGUAGAAUAAUAGAGAAGAAAUAUUCUAUGUUUUACUCUUGAAGCAGUACAAUUUUGAAAUUUACUCCCGAAAUAGUAAAAUCUUGAAAUUUACUCCUGAAGUAGUGAAUCUAAAAUUUACUCCUGACGUAGUAAAUUUGUAAUUUACUCCUGAAGUAGUAAACCUUUGAACUUUACUCCUGGAGUAAUAAAACAGGUAUGAAAUGUUUCUCUUUUACAAAAAUAAUGACGUGAUUAGGUGAAUACUUGUAAGUUCUACUCACUCUUGUUUAAAUCAGCCAUGCUCAUAUAUAAUGUAAUUACCAUGAUUUUUUUUAUUUAUACAGAUAAAUAUGUGACAAUUAAAUUACUAUACAGAUAAAUAUGUGACAAUUAAAUUACUAUGUUUCUGCGUUUUGAAUUACUACUUUCUUUAACGAAAGUACUUAACAGGAUUAAAGCUACUGAACCUGAUAAGAUUUAUGCUCAUGAUUUCCUUAUUGUGUCAGUCAUUUUGAAUUACCUCGGGAUAUAUAUUCUUUGAACACAACCAUGUAUAGGUAUUAAGGAGUUACUGACUUGCAUGACUAUUUGUUGCUGGUUUAUAUCACAUCAUAAUUUGAUGUUGAAUUGUUGAAUGAAUUAGACGUAAAAUGGUGCAAAUAAAAUAAAAUAAAUUGCAAAGAUUAUACCUUUAAGACGGUCAUAUAUCGUCUAAGAAUGAUCAUCUGUUUUAAAGUAGUAAAAUUUGAAAUUUACUCCCGAAUAGGUAAACUUUGAAAUUUGCUCACGGAGAGGUAGACUUUGAACUUUAUUGCCGAAGUUGUAACAUUUUGAACUUUACUCUCGAAAAUGUUUAACUUUGAAAUCUACUUCUAAAGUAGUAAAACAAUGAAAUUUUCUCCCCAAAAUCUGUUGCGACUUUAUAAUGAAUGUAAAGAUUUUCCUUAUUUUCUUCAAUCUUCUAUUUUAGUUAUUUAAGGUGGCAAAAUUGCGAAAGAAAUGUUUAUAUUUAAUUUGAUGCAAUUUUCUUAAAGUAUUAGGAUGUUCUACUAAGGAAUGGUUCUAUAUGUAUUUUGGUGGUCUAGAAGUAUUGGUAUAAUUUUUGACAAGCAGAAAAAGGUUUGAGAAAUAUAUUGAAGCGAUGUUUUCUUGUGGUAGAAAUAACGAGCUAUUGAAAAUUAUGUAUAAAGCUCAUCUAAAUGAUCAAGUUUCAUUCCCUGAAGUAAAUGAAGAGUUUGCAUACAACAACAAUUAUCACUUAAGUAUUGACAUGGCUCCAUAUGAGGCUUUGUAUGGUAGGAGAUGUCGUUCUCCAAUUUUGGUUCGAUGCCUUGGGGCAAUGACUUGCUGAGAGAGUCCUUGGAUAAAGUAAAGUUGAUUCAGGAGAAGCUUCUUGCGACUUAGAGUAGACUAAAGGAGUAUGCGGACCGGAAGGUUCGUGAUAUGGAAUUCAUGGUUGGUGAUCAGAUUCUAUUGAAGGUUUUACCCAUGAGGGGUGUGAUGAGAUUUGGGAAGAAGGGCAAGCUAAGCCCGAGGUUCAUUGGUCCCUUUGAGAUUCUCUGGCGUGUUGGUGAGGUAGCCUACGAGAUGGCAUUUCCACUAGGUUUUGCAAGUGUUCACCCGGUAUUCCAUGUUUCUAUGUUGAAAAGUACCAUUCAUAUGAGUUUUUAUCAUCCACUGGGACUCGAUAUUAUUUGAUUAGAAUCUGUCACUCAAAGAAGAGCCGGUAGCAAUCUUGGAUGGGAAAGUAAGGAGGUUGAGGUCAAAAGAGAUAGCUUCAGUAAAAGUGCAAUAGAGGCACCAUCCAGUUGAGAAGGACAAUAUGCGUAUUAGAUAUCCCCAGCUUUUUACUGAUUUGGGUACCUUCCCUUCAUUUCUUUUUCGUUCGAGGACGAACGGUUAUUUAAUUGGUAUUUGAUAUAACGAUCUAUUUGGUCGUUUUAAGCAGUUUGCUCUCCCCCCCCCCCCCCCCCCCCCCAAAGUCUUUUUUUGGUGUUUUUGACUUGCAGGCAUGGGUGACGCGGUUCUCGAGGCUAUCGGGCAAGUGUUGGGUGGUUUUGAGGAUUUUAGAGGUUUUUAAGUUGAAUAAGUUAAAAAAGUGUUAGACCAAUAGUUGACUUUUGAGUAAACGAGUCUUUUUAGAUUUUUUGUCGAUUCCAUUAGGUCCGGAAGAUCGAUUAUGACUUGAUAAAGUGAUCGGUCCGUUUCCCUAGAGAUUUGGGCGGUGUUUUGGUCUUUUGGUUGAAAUUCUAGUUUUUUUGGCGUUUGGGGGUUGACUGGGUCAAGACGACCUCUUUUUGAAAUUUCGAGUGCGCGAGUGGGUUCUUAACAUCAUUUAUACUUAGUUUGUAUGUUUCGGGUGUCAAAACCAACUUCGAAAGACACCAGAAAAAUCUGGUGUCCAGUUCUGGUUUCCUUAUUCGCUAUCACGAAAAGGUGUCUGUGAGCGCGUGCCUUGGUGGGAUAGGCCAUCGCGAUCGCGUUGGUGUCUCUCGCGAAAGUAAGAUGGCGCUUGCUUGUGAUGGGUGAGUCGCGGGUCAUUGUAGUCGCGUGACUAGUCCCGCGAUCGCGAUAGUCCCAGCUAGGUCGGGUCGCGGAUGGGCAUCGCGAUGGCCCAGGUCGCGAUUGCGGUGAAGAACUGCUGAAAUGGUGAAAUAAAUCCCCCAGCUUUGAAAACUAUUCCCAUUGACAAAUUUCAAGUUCUUGAGUUCGCUUUGGAGAGUUUCCAAGGAGGUUCCACAAAUCUAAGCUUUGGGAUACGUUCCUAAUCUCUUCUAGGCUUAAAUACAUGAUUCCAUCCUUAGAUUCAUUAUUUAAUCCAUGAUUCUAGGUGGGAAAAUGAGCGUUUGCAUUAUUUAGGGGUUUUGAGUAAUUAAUUAAAUUGAAGGCCUAAUUGUGAUUAGAAUUUCAUGAAAUUAAGGAUUGUGACUAUUUUUAUUAUGGGUAACGUAAUUUUGCUCUUAAUUUCUAAUUUUUCCCUUGGGCUUGGUAUGAGUUAUUUUGGGUUUGUUUUUGAGUUUCCACUUAAGUAGCAAUAUGGGUAUUGAUGGAUUCGUAAGACCAUAUAGGUUGCUACUUUGAUCAUGUUAGGUUCAAUUUCUCGGUAAAUCACCUUUUGACCUACCGGAUGGAAUUUGGGCUUUUGGGUUGACUUUUGGACCAGAAUCCUUUUCCUAUUAAUUAGGCAUCCUCAUAAUCAUUUAUUAACGUAGAAAUUGGUAAUCUUUAGACUUUGCUCAUUCAGAGGGGAUUCAAAAGGGAAAGACGCAAGUUGGAUAGUUCGUGGCACCUGCUCGACACUGAGGUAGGUUACGACUAACCUUUGUUUGACUACGAUCAGUGAAUCACAUGUGAUUUGUAGUAUUGACGGGGAAAACAUGAUAGGCCUUCAGGCAUUUUUGUGGUGAUAAAUCCACCGAUUUGGUAUGGAUGUUGUUAUGUGGGCUUGUCGCCAUGAUUGCUAAUACGUUGUGAUAGUUGAUUGAUAUAUUUUGUUAUUCGAUUCUCACUUAACUCAUGGAAAAGAAAGGCUGAAAGUAAUGACUUGAGCUGUGUUCAUUAUUCAUGACAUGCAUGAUUUGAUUCUAUGAUAUAUGUUGUUGUUGAAAGUGAUUCCAUGCAUGACAUGCCUUUCAUUUGCUCAUAUGAUUGAUAUGAUAGUGAGAAAAGUGAUUUAUAGCCUCUGAGGUCUUUGCCGGAGAGCGCAAAAUGAGAGAGUGCUCGCGUCCGAGGUAAUUUGACGGAGUGAGGUACUACUCAGGUCCUAGGUUGUUGCUGUAAUGAGAGAAAGGUACAUUGACUUCGCGGGUCCCCCAUAGGUCAUGACUUUGAGGCAUAGCCCUUAGCAUGUGUGUAUGAGAGAGUUGGCCUGUGUGGCACUGCAUUGCAUGGCAUUGCAUUCCAUUUGCAUUGGCACCUCAUAUUAUUGCAUUGCAUUUCCUCUUAUGGAAUUCUUUGGUGUUGAUUACUUGAGUCGUUGCUAGUUUUGUCAAGUGUGUGGUUUAGGAGCUUUACCUAGGCCUAUAACUUAAGGUUAUUGAGAUUAUUACUAUUGUGAUCUUCUAUUGAAGUUGAUUUUGUAACUGUAUUUAAUCGUCUUAUCUGCUUACUUGUUGAUUCUUCAUAUUAUAGGUGUUAUCUAAUCGUUGUCGUUCUAUGAUGCCUUUGAGCACUAGUGUUGUACUCAUGCUACACUUGUUGCACUUUUUGUUAAGUGUAGAGCUUGACCCAGGAUCCUCUUCGCGACCUCGCGAGUGAUACUGAGGCCAUCCGCAGGGGAUUUCAGGACUUUGCUCAUUCAGAGGUGAUUCGAAAAGGAAAGGGGAAAGUUGGAUAGCUUGUGGCAUCUGCUCGGCACUGAGGUAGGUUACAACUAACCUUUGUUAGACUCUGAUUAGCGAAUUGCAUGUGAUUUGUUGUAUUGACAGGGAAAGCAUUAUGGGCCUUCAGGCAUGGUUGUAGGGAUAAGUCCACUGGCUUGGUAUGAAUGUUGUUAUGUGGGCUUGUCGCCAUGUUUGCUAAUACGUUGUGAUAGUUGAUUGAUCUAUUUCGUCCUUUGAUUCUCACUUAACUCAUGGAAUGGAAAGGUUGAAAGUAAUGACUUGAGUUGUGUUCAGUAUUCAUGGCAUAUUAUUUUAGUCUAUGAUAUGUGUUGUCUUCUAAAGUGAUUCCAUGCAUGACAUGCCUUUCAUUUACUUAUAUGAUUGAUAUGAAAGUGAUUGAUAGCCUCUGAAGUCUUUACCGGAGAGCAUAAAAUGAGAAAGAGUGCUCGUGUCCGAGGUCAUUUAUCGGAGCUAGGGAGUGCUUGUGUCCUAGGUCGUUGCCGGAAUGAAGAAAUGGUAAAUGGACUUCACAGGUCCCCCAUGGGUCAUGACGUUGAGGCAUAGCCCUUAGCAUGUCUGCACGAGAGAGUUGACCUUUGUGGCACUGCAUUGCAUUCCAUUUGCAUUGGCACCCCAUAUUAUUGCAUAGCAUGUCCUCUUAUGGAAUUCUUGGGUGUUGAUUACUUGAGUUGUUGCUAGUUUUUUCAAGUUCUUACUUAGAACCUUGAGAGGCUUGUGGUUUAGGAGCUUCACCUAGGCUUAUAACCUGAGGUUGUUGAGUUUUAUUUAGAUUAUUAUUACUAUGAUCUUCUAUUGAAGUAUGAUUUUGUAAAUGUACUUGAUUGUCUUAUCUACUUACUUGUUGAUUCUUCAUAUUAUAAGCGUUAUCGAAUCGUUGUUGAUGCCUACGAGUACUAGUGUUGUACUCAUACUACAUGUCACGCCCCCAAAACCCACCCUGGACGCAACAAGCAUCUGAUGCUAUGAACAACACCGGAAGAACCUUAUGAAAUCAAUAAACGUCUAAUCUCUUAUGAUAAUCUUUCGACAUUUUAUUUAAAACAGUCGUUUAGGGCUAACCGAAAGUAGACUCAUACUUAUAAAAUAAGCAGAAUUUUAAUGCGAAUAAUCAAAUAUAAAACAUGGAAAACGCCCCAACAAGUCAUACAAGACUUUAACAAUCUACCCACAAUCUGACAACUAUCUAUGGAGCUUCUAAAAUAAAUAAAUGAAUGAACUAACUUUGGGACGUAGCUCGGAAACUAAAUGCAAUAAAUUAAGAUAGAGGGGUGUCGUACGAACAAGCAUGUGGGCUCAUCACAAGUCUGGAAGGCAGCAAGUUCUCCUACUCCGUACGCGUAUUACGAACCUGCUCUUCUUUGUUACUUAACGUACCAUCAAAACAAUAAUGGUAUGCUUGAGUAUUGGGUACUCAGUGAGUGUCUAAAGGGCAAUAGUUAAUAAAUCUAAAAUAAGAUAGUUAUAAUCAAACUUGUGAGUCAGUAGUAGUAAAACAAUAUCAAAAUGAAACAAUUCGAAAUCCAGAGAUAAAGUGAAAUAGUGACCCUAGAAAAAUAACCAGUAAAAGCCAAGACACAAGAAAAUAUCAAUUUCAACUUAUUAUACUGUUCAUCUCAUUACGUAUUUCACUUACUAACUCAAGAUUACCACAACCACUCAUAAGCAACCAAGAUAUCAACACAUGGCAACUCACGAGCAAACAACCAUUCGAUACACUGGGGUUAUUAUCCCACAGUGGCUAAUCGUCCUCUGGACUAGCACAACGAUAGAUGCACCGGGCGACACACCUGGGAGGUCAAUUGUCCUUUAGACUGACACAACAAUUGAUACACUACGGUACAUGCCACAGAGGUCGAUUGUCCUCUGGACUAACACAACAAUGCUCAAAAGCGAUAUGUUAGGAUCCAUAAUGGCUAAUCGUCCUUUGGACUAGCACAGCUUUCCCAUACAGGCCCAAACACACACAAAAAAUAAAUAAAUACAUGUCAUGGCAUAUCAACUGAAUCAUCAAUCAUGGCUUAUAGCCGAAUUCACUUCUCAGGUCAUCUUCUCACAAUAAACGUAUUUCAAGUCACAAUCAAUUUAUAAUUUGAUGUCUAAAUCAUUCAUUCAAGUUCAAGAAACCCAUUCAAGGAAAACAUUUUUAAAGUUCCAACCUUUAGAGAAAUAAGUUUAUCAUCUGUAUUAGGACAAAACAUGUUCAUCAUAAUAUUAUAAUUCGUAUAAGGUUCGAUGCGGGCUUGAUCCUACACACACAUGACCUUGUUCAAAUGUCAUCUUUUAAUUAAAAAGCAAGUUCAACAAAGAACAACCGCCAAACUAGGGUUUUAACUUGUACAAAUAAUCAAAGUAGGAUUCUCAAAUAUCGAUCAUGUGUUCACAACAUAAACGUACUUCAAGGAAGAUUUCAAAAUAGACAUACAUCCACAGACAUUUUUUAAAAAGAAUAGGCACACUUCAAAAUAAGAUUUCAAAAAUGCACACAUACACCCAAAAACGUUUUUAAAAAGAAUAGGCAUACUUCAAAAGAAUAUUUCAAAAAUGUAGACAUACCUUAAUUUUCGCUAAAAACGCUACCAACGGAUUUUUUCACAUUCAACAAUCGCUCUACAAUUGAUUAGGAUGAUAAAGAUUAGAGUUUCCAUCUAAUUCUAUCCAUCUCACCCUUUUUAGAAAAACUAGGGUUUUUAAGUCAACUUCAUAUUCUUUCUUUUAGAAGAUUCAAUCAUGGACUCUAAUCACUUGUAAUAACCCACACUAGUCUCAAUCCAUUUAAUAAACACCAUUAGAGGUCAAGAUCUUAUUUUUAUUGAGAUUCCCCCCAAAGUUCUCUUCAAUUAUUCUACCUUAAUUUUAAAGAAUCUAUGGAUUGGAAUGAUAAUCUGGUGUUAAUCCUUGUUACUUUGAUAUAGUUUAAUCAUAGGAUGGUUAGGAACUCACCUUGUAAGGUUUGGAGAUGUUCUAGGGUCUUUUCUCCUCAAAAAGUCGGCUAAGAAUGAAGUAAGUAUGAAUUUUUCAAGAAAAUCUCGUUCUCAUACAAUUUUCGCACAAUUGGGAAUGCUAUGUAGCAUAUGCGGUCGCAUUUUGCGUUUAUGGCCGCAUUCUGGUCGCCUACACAAACCAGUAACAUUGGAAAAUCAUCUUGAAAUGUAAAGUGGGUUUGCGGGUGAGUUUGCUGUCGCAUUCUGAGUUUGCGGCAACAUUCUAGCCGCAUUCCAGCCAGCGUCCCAUAUAGGUUUCAGUAAAAUAGGCAUACCUUUGUGCUCAUAGCUCCAUUUGAGCUCCAUCUUAUAUUAUUGGAAUGGUAUUUCAAUGGGCAACAAUUUCACGUUUUAAGUUUUCUCAAAUUCCUAAUGGAUUUGCACAUAAACAGGAGGGAAGUCAGCACUACCGAAAACUGAGUUGAUUCUAUCGAAUCUUAUGCAUCCCACUAUUCGUGUUGAACUUAAAAUAACUAUUUUCACCCAAACUCACCUCGAUAGGACUUCAUAUGUCUAAAAUGUCACAUUAACAGACAUCUAACACAUUCACACCUAAUCCAAAUUUACAGAGUGUUACACGACACUUGUUGCACUUUUUGUUGAGUGCAUAGUUUUACACAGGAUCGUGUUCGCGACCUCGUGAGUUGAUUAUUGAGGCCAUCCGCAAGAGAUUUCAGGGUGAGCCACAUGCCAGAUCUACAACCCUGGAUCCCUUCUAUUGACUAUCUGCCUACUUUGAUUCCUCAGAUAGUUCUAUUUCUGUUUAAAGACUUGUAUUCCAGCAUGUUAGUAUUGUAUUAAGAAUUAGAAACUCUUGUACGAGUUCAGAUUAGGUUUUGGGGUUGUAAACAUUAUUAGUACUUCCUCACUUACUUUUAUAUAAAUAUCUUCUAGACUGAUUAGUAAUAACUAGCUUUUACUUCCGCAUGUUUCUUAAUUAUGAUUUUGUUUAAGGGGGGUGGUUCGGCUACCUACAGGGACAGUGUAGGUGCCACCAUGAUACACAAGUUGGGCCGUGACACUGCUGAAAGAAGUUGAAAUGAGGAAUUUGCAGAACUCUUUGAUCCUGAAGGACCAUAUCUUUAUUCAAUUGAUGCAUUUAUAUAUCUUGCUAUAACUAUGAGCUUGAUAAUGUUUUACUCCUACAUGGAGAUAUUGAAAAAAGAUCAAUUGCAAGCAUUAUAUGAAUGUAUUUAUCCUGACAAAUGUUGUCAAGUUUUUUUUUUUGGAUAUACAGAGCAUUCAUUUGAUCGACAAAAUAUGUUCGAUCGAGACAUAUUUUCUAUUCCAUGAGGGAUUACAGUCAUACGAUGUUGUUUUACAUGAUAGUCAAAUCAUACAGAGAUAACAUUUAUUUAUAAUGCAAAUCAGGAAUGUACUUUACGUAAUUCCAAUAAUAUUAUAUGC